UACGUAGGGUGCGAGCGUUAAUCGGAAUUACUGGGCGUAAAGCGUGCGCAGGCGGCCACAUAAGACAGAUGUGAAAUCCCCGGGCUUAACCUGGGAACUGCGUUUGUGACUGUGUGGCUCGAGUGCGGCAGAGGGGGGUGGAAUUCCACGUGUAGCAGUGAAAUGCGUAGAGAUGUGGAGGAACACCGAUGGCGAAGGCAGCCCCCUGGGUCGACACUGACGCUCAUGCACGAAAGCGUGGGGAGCAAACAGG
rnacentral:rRNA from 1 species